ACAACGGCAGUGUCCUUACCCGGGAAUCGAACCUGCGACCUUUCGGUUACAAGCGCAGUUCCUUACCCACUGUGCCACACUCCGUCCUGCUGAACCGCUUUUGUGAUGCCAAUGGGGUUCUGGGAGUUCAAUAGAAUGCCCCAGGGCGUUACAAAUGCUCCCAGCACUUUUCAAAAUGUGAUGGAGAAGUGUGUGGGUAGUAUGAACCUGAACUAAGUUUUGGUUUUUCUUGAUGACCUAAUUGUUUUCUCUGAUACACUCGAGGAACACGAGGACUGCCUGCUGCGUGUUCUCAACAAAUUGAAGGAUUUUGGAUUGAAACUCUCUUCAGAGAAAUGCCAGUUCUUCAGGAAAUCUGUCAAAUAUCUGGACCACAUCGUAUCAGAAAUAGUGUGGAGACAGACCCUGCCAAGAUAGCUGCUCUAACUACCUGGCCAAGGCCUAGUAAUAUCAAGGAGGUUUUGCCGGGUAUUAUAGGAGGUUCAUAAAAGAUUACUCCAAAAUUGCAAGACCCCUCAAUGACUUGACUACUGGCUACUUUCCUCCAAAGAGAAAGUCAAACUCUCCACGCAGCAACUCCAAAUGCACCUCAAGUGUAGACCCAAAGCAGUCAUAUAUGAAAAAUGGACAUCCACAUGUGAGGGAGCAUUUAAGAUGCUCAUUCACAAGUUCACAACUACUCCUAUCCUUGGAUUUGCAAACGCAAAGAAGCCAUACAUCUUGCACACAGAUCCAAGUAUGCAUGGACUUGAUGCAGCCCUGUACCAGGAACAGGAAGGCAAAUUGAGAGUUAUUGCUUAUGCCAGCAGAGGACUCUCCAGCUGCGAGCGAAAAUAUCCCACACAUAAGCUCGACUUUUUAGCCCUCAAGUGGGCUGUCACAGAGAAGUUUUUCGACUAUCUAUGGUGUGAAAUUCACAAUUGUGACAGAUAACAACCCGCUUACAUAUGUUUUGACAUCUGCCAAACUCGAUGCAGCCAACAUCGUUGGCUUUCCGCCCAGUUUGACUUUAACAUCAUUGCUCGUUUUGUGCUGGAUGGCAAAGAGCCUGAUUUCCCAGCUGAAGCAGUAAAGGCCAUGUGCCAGAGACACCAGAUCAUUCAAGCCUCUGAUGCAGAGCCAGCAAUAACUGAAUUUCCCAUCUCUGUUGAGUGUCUUGCCAUCGACGCAGCUGCCAUCCCUGCAGAGUUUUGUCAAACCGAUCUACUCCCUGGAUCAUGUGCGCUGCCCCAGAUGUCACAACAAGACUGGGCACUGGAACAGAGAAAUGACCCUGUCUCAGUAUAGUGAUAUCCAUCCUUAAGACAGGAAAUGUCAUACAGAGCUAGACAGCGGGAAGACAGAGAAGUCCAGCUGAUGUUGAGGGUGAUGGACUAACUAGUCUUGAACAAUGAGGUUCUGUACAGGAAGCGAAUUACCCUGGGAGGACCCUCAUACCAACUUGUUCUUCCAAAGGGCUUUAGAAAAUCAGCGCUUGAGGGUCUCUAUGAUGCUAAUGGGCACAUGGGCAUGGAAAGGACCAUAGACCUGGUCCGCACACACUUCUAUUGGCCACGUAUGGCAAUGGAUGUAAAUGAAAAGAUCAGGACCUGUGAGAGGUGUACAGGAGAAAAGCUCGAGCUGAACGGAGUGCCCCUCCGGUGAAUAUCAAGAUGAGUUGCCCUUUAGAACUAGUCUGUAUAGACUAUCUUUCAUUGGAACCAGACGGAAGAGGAACUAAGAACAUCUUAGUUAUUACUGAUCAUUUAACAAAAUAUGUUUCAAAGGCUCUGUGGAACAACUUUUUCAUUCAUUAUGGAUUUCCGGAGCGAUUGCACAGCAACCAAGGCCGCGAUUUUGAGUCCACCUUGAUCAAAGAAUUGUGCUUGCUACUUGGCAUAAAAAAGACAAGGACAACACCAUGUCAUCCCCUUGGAAAUCCCAUGGAGCGAUUCAAUCACACCCUCCUGGAGAUGUUGGGAACACUUGAGGAGGAGGACAAAGUCAAAUGGAGGGAUUUUGUGCAGCCCUUAGUUCAUGCUUAUAACUGCACCAAAAACGACACCACUGGAUUCUCUCCUUAUCAGCUGAUGUUUGGCAGACAACCAUGCCUACCAAUUGACAUUGCUUUUGGACUGAACCCUGAGGGAUACAGCAAAGUACCUCACUCUGAAAAUGUCAAGAGUUUGAGGGAAAAUCUUCAGGAAAGCUAAAAACUUGCUGCAGAAAACAGUCUGAAGACUGCGCUACAGAACAAGCAAAGGUUUGACAGUAAAGUCAGAGUCCAUCUUGGCAGCCGGAGAUCGGGUCUUGGUAAGGAAUGUUGGCAUUCGAGGGAAGCAUAAAAUCGCUAAUCGCUGGAGUGAAACCAUCUACACUGUUGUCAAACAGAUUAAAGAUUCUCCUGUCUGUGUUGUACCAGAAACUGGCGACGGCCCUGAAAGAGUGUUAAAUAGAGACUUACUCUUGCCUUGUGGGUUCCUCCCACUUACAGUUGGGGAAGUAGAUCGUCAUAGACCAGAAGCAUCACAGGAGCCUGAUUGUUCACUACACACUUCACUCAUGAAGUUAGAGAUGAUGAGGAGAUGUCAAUGCCUGAAAGUGAGGAUGAGGUUGAGUAUUACUUCCCUCAGUCCCAGUGCUUAGAUGAGACAGUAGUUAUAGAACGUAACCGUGGACAACAGAGCAGAGCCAAACAAAAUGAUCCAAGACUAGAGAGAGGACCUGCUGAACCUGAUUAACCAGUGGAAGGUGAAGUCCAGUUGGAAGUCACAUUUACCCCAGAGAGCAAGGAAGUCGAGUAAGGCCUAGAAGUGCCUCCCUUAAUCCUGAAGCUCCAAUAUUUCAACCUGCCAAUUGAUGAAAAUUUGGAAUGAAAUCAAGUGCAAUGCUUACCUGCAGAUCAGAGUGUUGGAAUUGAAGCUGAGGGACAUGCGCCUGAAACUCUAACCACCAGUCAGAGUGAUCUGUAUACCAAGGGAACUGGAAAAGAUCCUGGAACAAAAGGAGAGGAGAAACGUGAAGCAGAAGAGAGUGGUGAAACUGUUCAUCAUGAAGAGAUGGAGUUGAGAAGAUCCUCCAGACAGAGAACAGUCCCUAGGAAACUGACUUACCCGACUUUUGGAAACCCAUUAGUCUCCGUCUUGCAUUCCAUCUUAAAUGCCUUAGACCAGGCAUUCUCCCAAGCCCUUGUCUAUGACACUGCCCCUUACAUAUGUCAGUUAGAGCCCUUGUCCUCUGAAACAGUGUAGAGAAUAGACUAUAAUCACAUGCAAGGAUGCAUGCAGGUUCAGGGGGAGUGGAUGUAACCCACUCAAUAUGAACACUGCCAAUAAAGGGUUAAUUAUCUGUUUCGUAGUAGCAGAGGCGCCCUGUGGAAAAAUACUGGGGUCAGACUUGCUUGAACAGAACAACAAAAGUCCCUGCAAGAGACACAUGGAGAGAACUAGUUAAAAAUAUUAACUUUCAGUUCUGUUAUAAGAUUUACAAGAACACAACUAAGUUUAUCAUUGAUUGAACAUCUGCAAUUGCCUGCUGAGGAUUCCUUUUUGUGUCGUUUUGUUUGAAUUCUCCGGUUGGUUUUUUUUCUGUGCUUGAUUCUGAUUGAGAAGAAUAGAACUUCGGCUGAGCCAGUGAACGAUUCACUACCCAUGAACAGUGAACUAACGCUACAGAGGAGAAGACGGAUCGGCACUGUAUCCCAUCUCUACUAAAC